AACAAGUACCGUGAGGGAAAGAUGCAAAGAACUUUGAAAAAAGAGUGAAAAGUACCUGAAAUUGCUGAAAGGGAAGACAUUGAACUUUGUGUGUGACGUUAAACUUGGGAUGGUUGUACACAACUGUCUGCGGUUUAUAUGUUUCCAGUUUACGUGGUUUUAAUUUGAAGUAAAUGGUUUGAUUGGUAGGUAGGUAUAAUUUCGGUUAUACUGUUUAACCUUU
rnacentral:rRNA from 1 species